rnacentral:rRNA from 1 species
GCUGGCGGCGUGCUUACACAUGCAAGUCGAACGGAGUAUGGACGCUGAACAAACGAUUAGCUUGCUAAAAGUGAGUUCUUGUUGAUACUUAGUGGCGGACGGGUGAGUAACGCGUGGGUGACCUGCCAUGUACAGGGGGAUAACACUUAGAAAUAGGUGCUAAUACCGCAUAAGCCUACAGGAUCGCAUGAUCCAGUAAGAAAAACUCCGGUGGUACAUGAUGGACCCGCGUCUGAUUAGCUAGUUGGUGAGGUAGUAGCUCACCAAGGCGACGAUCAGUAGCCGGCCUGAGAGGGUGAACGGCCACAUUGGGACUGAGACACGGCCCAAACUCCUACGGGAGGCAGCAGUGGGGAAUAUUGCACAAUGGGGGAAACCCUGAUGCAGCGACGCCGCGUGAGUGAAGAAGUAUUUCGGUAUGUAAAGCUCUAUCAGCAGGGAAGAAAAUGACGGUACCUGACUAAGAAGCCCCGGCUAACUACGUGCCAGCAGCCGCGGUAAUACGUAGGGGGCAAGCGUUAUCCGGAUUUACUGGGUGUAAAGGGAGCGCACACGGAAUGCCAAGUCUGAUGUGAAAUGUC